GCCACCAUAGCUGAGUAGUAAGAGCACUGAUCUUGUAAACCAGGGUUCGAGAGUUCAAUCCUCACUGGUGGCU